rnacentral:rRNA from 1 species
CGCGUAGGCGGACUGUCAAGUCAGUCGUGAAAUAUCGGGGCUUAACCCCGGGGCUGCGAUUGAAACUGGCAGCCUUGAGUAUCGGAGAGGAAAGCGGAAUUCCUAGUGUAGCGGUGAAAUGCGUAGAUAUUAGGAGGAACACCAAUGGCGAAGGCGGCUUUCUGGACGACAACUGACGCUGAGGCGCGAAAGUGUGGGGAGCAAACA